rnacentral:tRNA from 1 species
GCCGGGAUGGCAGAGAGGCUUAUGCGCCGAUCUGAAGAAUCGGUGGUUCCAGCCGAACCACAUGGGUUCGAAUCCCAUUCCCGGCG